AGGGGGGAAAUGGUGGGAAAAUAAGGGGGGGAAAUGGCAGGAAGAUGGGGAGAAAAUGGGAGGAAAAUGGGAAAGAAAAUGGUGGGAACGUGAGGGGGAAAAUGGGAGAGAAAAUGGUGGGAACAUGAGGGGGAAAAUGGGAGAGAAAAUGAAGGAGUAAAUGAUGGGAAAGCAAGAGAUAAAAUGGUGGGAACAUGAGGAAGGAAAAUGGCAGGAACAUGAGGGGGGAAAUGGUGGGAACAUGAGGGAAGAAAAUGGUGAGAACAUGAGGGGGGAAAUGAUGGGAAAAAGGGGUAGAAAAUGGCAGGAACCUGAGGGAGAAAAUGGCGGGAACAUGAGGGGGAAAAUUGCAGGAAAACGAGAGAGAAAUGGCAGGAACGUGAGGGAGAAAAUGGUGGGAACAUGAGUGGGGGAAAUGGUGGGAAAAGAAGGAAGAAAAUGGCGAGAAAACCAGGGACAAAAUGAGGGAGAAAAUGGUGGGAACGUGAGGGGGGAAAAUGGAGGGAACAUGAGGGGGAAAAUGGCAGGAACAUGAGAAAAAAUGAGGGGAAAAUGGGGAAAACAAAGGGAAAAUGAGGUGGAAAAUGGAGAAAAAUGGGCGGAAAAGGGAGAAAAUGAGGGGGAAGUGGAGGGAAAAUAGAGGAAAUGAGAGGAAAUGCGAAAAUUGAGAAAAUGGGAAACUGGGGAAAAAUGUGGGAAACGGCAGAAAAAUAGCAGGAAAAUGGAGAAAAUAGAGAAAAUGUAGGAGGAAAUACAGAAAAUGGGGGAAAAGGAAAAAAAUCAGCAAAAAAUGAGGAAAACAUGGAAAUGGAGGGGAAAUGUGAGGAAAGCGUGGGAAAAAUGGGGGAAUUAUCCCAGUUUUGGAGUACUGGGAUUGGAUGGGAUGGGGUUGAGGGAAUGGAAAAAUCCCUGUGGAAUAUUCCAGAGGAAAUUUGGGAUUUUUUUUUUUUUUUUUUCCCCCCCCCCCCCCCCCCCCCCCCCCCCCCCCCCCCCCCCCCCCCCUUUUUUUUUUUUUUUCCCUGACUCUUGCCUGUAUCCAGGUGGGGCUGCCAUGAGGGCUGGGGUGCAGGAGGGCGACCGGAUCGUCAAGGUCGGCAUUCCCAAAUCCCCCUUCCCAAAAUUCCCCAGAAAAAUUCCCAUUUUUCCAGCUCCUUUCGCUGCUUUUCCAGGUGAACGGGACGAUGGUGACCAACAGCUCCCACCUGGAAGUGGUGAAGUUGAUCAAGUCUGGUGCCUACGUGGCCCUGACCCUGCUGGGGUCCCCCCCUGGGUCCGUGGGGAAUUCGGGAUCACAGCAGGAGCCAGAGCCCUCAGGAUGUCCCCAGGGGCCCCCCCAGCG
rnacentral:lncRNA from 12 species